UUCCGAUUUCGGAAUGGUCAUGGCAGGUUAAGACAUGCGGGAUCUGCCAUUUGUUUGGGUGUGCUACCGAUCCUAACCCUAGGUCUGCUGCCUCGCCUCCGUCCCUUCUCCACCGAUGCGCCCGGUGGCUGCAGCGUGGCCGUGAUGCAGGUGACGAGGUCCAAUUUCAACGCGGCGCUGGAGGGCCUUAGGGCCUGCGUAGAGGAGUCGGACUUCGUGGUCGUUGACCUUGAGAUGACCGGCGUGACGAGUGCCCCAUGGAGGGACUCGUUCGAGUUCGACCGAUCCGAUGUCCGUUACCUUAAGCUGAAGGACUCCGCUGAGAAGUUCGCUGUCGUGCAGUUCGGUGUCUGUCCCUUCCGCUGGGAUUCAUCCAAGGACUCCUUCUUCGCCCAUCCGCAUAACUUCUAUAUCUUUCCACGGAAUGAGUUGCCACUUCAUGGGCCACCUGAUGAUUUCCUAUGGCAAGUAACAUCCAUCGACUUCCUUGCUAAAUGCCAAUUUGACUUCAAUGCAUGCAUAUAUGAAGGUUGUGAAAAAGCACUUCAAUGACCUCAUGUAUGUUCGUGUUGUUGAUGAGGACAACUCAUGGCAAAUUAAAGGAGGGUAGUCUAUGUCGACACAAAUGAAGAUAAGGUUGUAUUGAUGAAAGAUGUCCUUGAAGAUCUGAGAAAAAAUGCAGAAAAAAGAAUCAAGUCUCUGUUGGAUUUUGGCAUGUUGUUGAUCUUCUUGCAUCAACAGAAAAAUUGAUUGUCGGUCAUAAUUGUCUUCUAGAUUUAGCUCAUAUAUACAACAAAUUUUUUGGUCCUCUUCCUCCAUCUUUGACGGAAUUUGUGCAAGCUGUCCAUAAAAAAUUCCCCCACAUUGUUGACACUAAGCACCUUUUGAACUCAAACCAAACAAUUAAGCAUUUGAUGAAAAAGAAUAGCAAGUCAUUGUCUUCUGCCUUCUCUCUUUUAUGGCCCAACGUAUCAUCUAAUUCCCAGACCACUUCCAAGUCUUACUUGAGAUUUGAGGUCCAAACAGAUGAAAUUAGGUAAGCUUUCAUAAUUCAAUCAUUUUAUUCAUUUGUUUCUGCAUCAGGAAAUAACAAACUAAACAUGAUCAUUCGUUAUUUUUUGACUUUGUUGGGUUGGAAAUUUUCUCAUACUAUUUUUAAACUCUCAAGUGUAAAUCUGUUGCUAUUAUAUGUUUAAUCUAUCUGUAGCAGUUGUAGUAACUAUUAAAAAGGAUUUGCUUUGAUCCCUUUUCUUUUAUUAUUUAUUCACAAGAAUUUCUUUUGUCAUUUUCCUUUUUUUUCGUAACAUUUGUACUCUUUGCAUUCUCAUUUCAAUGUUUAGUGUUUAUUGUAUUUUAGGUUGUUACAUAUUGUUUCCUUAUAGCCACAAUGUUCUAACUAAUUUGUAGAUGAGAAUGAGGUUAUCUAGAGGUAAUCAAGUUAUCCAAGAAUGAUCCGUAAUUAUUUAAUUAGGUAAUUCUACUUUUCCAUAUUCUAUUGUGACUUAUGUUUCACUCGUUAGUAUCAUGCAGGAUACCAAGAGCAAACGCUGCAUUAGCCACAACAACAAAGAGCAAAUGUUGGAUUCAAAACCAUCUUUUAAUCUUUUGCUUGAUUUUCUCAACAAAAUUGGUUGGUUCAUUAAUUUGUACAAGAGAAGCAAUUUAUCUCAUGAAAUUCGAAGACAAGGAGGGCAAAAAGAAGAAAUUGGUUGGUUCAUGCAUGCUAUUAGCUCGAGGAUGGAGGAACAAAUUAUUGAAAGGAAAAAAAACUUGUUAUUACAUAAAGUAGGCAGAGGAAAGAAAAUCGUAUUGAGGAAGGUAGGUAAAGAGAAGAAAAUCUCAAGGAGAUGAUUCGGAAAUGAUUCAAGAAAUGGAAUAUACAAAUCAUUUAUAUCUAGGAGAAUUUGGUCUUUAUAGUUUGAUUAUUGGUCAAAUUUGUUUGGAUAAUGUAAAUAUUUAUUUAUUUUAAUGUUAAUUGUAUAAUACAUUUGGAAUUA